rnacentral:rRNA from 1 species
CCUACGGGCGGCAGCAGUGGGGAAUAUUGGACAAUGGAGGAAACUCUGACCCAGCAACGCCGCGUGAAUGAUGAAGGUCUUCGGAUUGUAAAGUUCUGUUCUAAGGGAAGAAGAAGGUGACUGUACCUUAGGAAUAAGCCUCCGCUAACUACGUGCCAGCAGCCGCGGUAAUACGUAGGAGGCGAGCGUUUUCCGGAAUGACUGGGCGUAAAGGGGGCGUAGGGGGGUUGGCAAGUUAGUAGCGUAACUCCAAGGCUCAACCUCGGAACUACUACUAAAACUGUUGGACUUGAGUGCAGGAGAGGCAAGCGGAAUUCCUAGUGUAGCGGUGAAAUGCGUAGAUAUUAGGAGGAACACCAGUGGCGAAGGCGGGUUGCUAGACUGUAACUGACACUGAGGCACGAAAGCGUGGGGAGCAAACAGGAUUAGAUACCCCAGUAGUC